CUAGCCCGCUCCCUAGUGCUUUCAAGUACUACGUACUAUCUAAUCAAGCGAAGUUCAAGAUUGCUGCCGUACCAUGGCCUGGCUGCCAAGGAUCGCCAUAGCAUAUACAUGCUUUCGGCCAUCGUCGUCUCCGGCAGCGGAUAAGCUGCGCCGGUCGGCUCGCUGCUCAUCGGCGGCCCAUCGGCUGUCGGCCAACUACCCGCCCAACUCCUGGGAUUACGACUCCCUCCUACUGUCUCUCAACGACCCCAUCCAUGAUCUGGUCGGCGGUCCAGGGAGCUUUGACAAGUUAAAGGCCGGCGUGAGGGAACGGCUGAUAUCGCCUACCACUUCGAUACGAGAUCGUCGGGAUCCUCACCUCCAUCCAUGGUACUAAACCUCACCCGUGCAGCUGGGAGGAUGAUCGUGACCUGGCUUCCGUGGCCUUGAGGUUCAGGUUACUCAGGGAAAAUUGUAUCCCAGUGUCACCUGCAGGUACCUAGCUAGUUAACUAUUAUAGCAAAACCAACUCCUUUUAAGAAAGACAGUGUAAAACUUAGACAGCAACGAAAUUAGCUGUACUUAACUUACAAUGUUGCAUGCAUGGUACCCAUGUAGAAUAUCUAAAAACUCUCGAAAAGAAUUGCCUCACACGCGCACUCCAGAGGGAAGAUAUCAAGGGACUACUCUCACUCCAUGAGGCAUCAUACCUGGCAUUCAGAGAUGAUGAAACAUUGGAUGAAGCAAGAACAUUUUGUGCCAAUGGUCUCAAAGAGCUCCUGCCAUCCUUGGAUCCCCACUUGCACAGUAGCGUGGUUCAUACUUUGGACAUUCCCAUGCAUCGGAGGUCUCCUAGACUAGAAGCAAGAUGGUUUAUAGAACACUAUGCUAGUGAUGUGAGUAAUUCCGACCCGUUGCUUCUCCGAUUUUCUAUGAGAGACUUCGAGAGGGUGCAAACAGUGCAUCAACAAGAACUUCGGAGACUUUUGAGGCAAGCACAACAUUACUAAGCUUCUAGACAGACAGCAUGCACUAAUCCUAACUGGUUACUUUCUUGUAGACUAUCUAUACAUGAUAGUGAAAUGAGUCAAUUACGCCACGGGUGUCUAAACUUGGCAAGAAAAAACAGUUUGGUACUAGAACUUGUGGGAUACAUUGAACCAGUGACAGAACUUGGCUUGAACGUGCAUCUACGGUGCUAAUCACGUCCGUAUACAUAUAGGAUGCUGACGUGGCAUGCCACCAUGGCGCGGGGCCAUCCGUAAGUGAAUAGGAGACAGGGGAGGAAUGUUUUUAUGAAUCAUUAAAAAUAUUUUCGUAAUUCCUAAAAAUUACUAUAAUUAUAUAUAUAAUUAAACACAUAAAUAUUACUUUAGUUAUAUAUAUUAUAAAUUAUCGUGUAUAUUUAUAGAAUUACACGAAUAUUCUUUUAAAUAGGAACAUUUAUUAGAAUUAUAUGAACAUUAUAUUAAAUAAGAUUAUUUUUAGAAUUAUAUGAACACUAUUCUAAAGAAAGAUAUUUUUAUUAUAAUACAUGAACUUAUUUAAAAUAAUUUAGUUCCCCUUUGUAUUUAAAUUAUUUAUAAUUUACAUAAUAGAAAAUAACCCUAUUUUUUAUAUAUUGUUUUGAGGGACAAGUACAUAAUUCUAAGAAAGGAAAAUAACUAACAUUUGAGAAAUGGGCCGGAGGGCCAGCCCCUCAUUUAAGCCUGAUGUGCACGCUUGCCUGUAGUUCAUUAGCACUAGCUAUCCAAUUUCAACAGCAAAUUGUAAAUGGUAUGGUGGCUAGCCUGGGCGGCCAGUGAGCCAAUGUUCUUCGUUCGAACUAUCGUGUCUCAUUAUUUUUCUUAUUAAUGAUAUUAAUUUCCUCCGUGUAAUGUAUCCUGACGGGUGGGGCCCAAUGUUUACACAGGUGUGUUGUUUCAUUUUUUAAGGAAAAUUUUUGAGAGGCUUUCUUAUGAUAAAAAUAAAAUUCCAGGGCGUUUUUGCAACAAAAAAACAGGUCACACGACCUCGUCCCUGCAGCAUCAGCACCCUGUACGUAUACAAGCGCGAUUAGCACUGUAGAUGCACGCCCAAACCAAGUUAUGUCACCGGUUCAAUGUAUGCUACAAGUUUUAGCACCAAACUGAUUUUUCUUGCCAAGUUCAAGCACCUAUGGUGUAAUUGACUCUAGUGAAAUUAAUUGCCAUGCUAUGAUUGAUUAUACAUGUUUAAUGUAGAUGGAGGACGGAGAUUGGACUUGGUGAGAAAUUUGGGUUCGCAAGAGAUCGUCUCAUAGAGUGCUUCCAUUGUGCAAAUGGAAUUGUCUGGGAUCCAAACCAUGGAUCAUGUCGGGAAGUGCUUUCCAGAGUUAUUCAUUUAGCCGCACACUUGGAUGACGUAUAUGAUGUGUAUGGAACCCUAGAUGAACUCAUCCGCUUCACCGAGGCAAUUGGAAGGUAGAAUUUAAAAUAUAAAACACCCAGUAAUUUCAAAUUGACCUGUGCUGAAAUAAAUAUAUUUCAGGUGGGAACAAAGUCCUAGGGAAAUUCUUCCUGAAUAUAUGCGAGCACUUUACUCUGUUAUGUAUAACACAUCCAAUGAGGUGGCUAAAAAUGUGUUGGGAAAACAUGGCUUCAAUGUGUUUUGUUUUCUUCGGGAUGCGGUAAGGCACUAAGUCAUACAUCACUAAAAACACAGCGAACUUCCUAAUCAGACACACAUAAUUUACGUAAUGUUGCAUCAUGGAAAUCACAUACCAACCCUAACGGACUACCUGGACAAUGGGUCAGUUUCGUCUACAGCACCAUUAUUGUUGCAACAUGCAUUUCCCAUGCUCAACAUGGAGGCCACACCAAAAGUUUCUUGAUAUAGCCCGAAGCUACCCAAGAUUAAUUCAAUCUACAUCACUGGUUUCACGGCUAUGCAAUGACUCCGCGACACACUCUGUAUGAAAAAUUCUUAUCUCUAUUUGUUCCUUCAUGUUUCAUUAUCAGAAUUUAUCAUUUUUAUGAGUCAUCUCAUGUGAUAUAUAUUUAUUUGUAUAUUUUGGUAAUUGUUUAUUAUAGGCUGAGCUUGAGAGACGGGACACACCAUCUUCCAUAGCUAUCCACAUGUCGCAGAACAACACCAGUGAGAAAGAGUCUCGGAAAGCCAUGGAAGACCUUACGAUGGAUGCUUGGAAGUCAAUUAACGAAGAUGCUUUCUUACAUUGCCGAUUUUCUAGUACUCUCACCAUGGCUUGCGUUAAUUUGGCUCGAACCUCACAUUGUGUUUACCAAGGUGGGGAUGGUUUUGGGGCACCGGAUGGUAAAAUAAAGGAGAAAAUCACAGAGUUGUUCUUGGAGACAUAUAGGACCGACAAACAAGAAUGAAUGGAAGCCCUCAAAUAUUAAGAGGAAUCAUUCCUUUCAAGUAAAUAUGAUAUUUCACCAAUGAAAGAUGGUAUGCAUGUUUUUUGUUGUA